rnacentral:rRNA from 1 species
GGAUUAGAUACCCUGGUAGUCCUAGCUGUAAACGAUGGAUACUAGACGUAGGAACUGGAUUGACGGUUUCUGUGUCGCAGCUAACGCGUUAAAUACUCCGCCUGGGUACUACGACCGCAAGGUUGAAACUCAAAGGAAUUGACGGGGACCCGCACAAGCGGUGGAACAUGUGGUUUAAUUCGAUGCAACGCGAAGAACCUUACCAACACUUGACAUGUUCGUCGCGGCUCUAAGAGAUUAGAGCUUUCGGUUCGGCCGGACGAAACACAGGUGCUGCAUGGCCGUCGUCAGCUCGUGUUG